GCUCAACAGUCAUUGGGGGGUUAGAACAACCCAUUUGGUUUAAUGAGGCCUUAUUGAGCCCUGAUAGGCUUGCUGGGGAUAAAACCUGGAGCUUGGGAGAGGAGAGCGACAUUUUGGAGCAAGAUGGCAAGAGGGACGGCGGCCACAUACCUGCAUGGAGUCCUUCUCCUGGCUCUGCUGAAACCUUCACUGCAAGGAGGUGUAUACAUACCAGCUGGUGGUGCUGCAGGAGGAGCUGGAACUGGUAUCGGAGCUGGUGCAGGACCUGGAACUGGAUUUGGACCAGGUGGGACUGGAACAGGUUUUGGCCCUGGAGGAGCUGGGACUGGAUUUCAGCCUGGUGGAGGAGUUGGACCAGGAGGUGCUGGCGGAGGUUUAGGAGGAUUUGGACCAGGAGCUGGUGGAGGUGGCUACGGUGGUCAAGGACCAGGAGGUGUCGGACCAGGAGGUGUCAGACCAGGAGGAGUCGGACCUGGAGGAGUCGUACCAGGAGGUGUCGGACCAGGAGGUGUCGGACCAGGAGGUGUUGGACCAGGUGGUGUCGGACCUGGAGGAGUCGUACCUGGAGGUGUCGGACCAGGAGGAGUUGGACCUGGAGGGUUCAGGCCCAGCACCUUUGGUCCAGGCAGUGGUGGACUUGGAGUUGUACCUGGAGGAGUUGGGGCUGGUGUAAAGCCGCCAAAAACAGGGGGUGGCUACGGCACUCGUGGGGCAGGACUGGGAGCUGGAGGUGUAGGAGGAGGACUGGGACCGGGCGGAGUAGGGUCAGGUGGUUUUGGACCAGGUGGUGUUGGACCUGGAGGCUAUGGAACCAGACCUGGAGGAGUUGGUCCCAGUGGUUUUGGACCAGGACACACUGGUCCUGGUGGUCAAGGGACAGGAUAUGGAGGCCUUGGAGCAGGGGGAGUGGGUGGAGGGACCCUUGGAGCAGGAGGCACUGGGACUGGUGGAGGUCUGGGAGCUGGAACAGGCGUCACCCCUGGGGGUGGAUAUGGAGGUGGUUAUGGACCAGGUGGUGUGAUUCAAUACCCAGGAACUGGUCCCAAACCUCCCAAAACAGGCGGUGUUGAAACAUCACUUGGAGGAACAGGUUAUGGGCCAGGUGGAGCAGGGUUUGGGCCUGGUGGAGCAGGGUUUGGGCCUGGUGGAGCAGGAUUUGGUCCAGGUGGUGCAGGAGUUGGGCCUGGUGGAGCAGGAUUUGGGCCUGGUGGAGCAGGAUUUGGGCCUGGUGGUGCAGGAGUUGGGCCAGGUGGAGCAGGAUUUGGGCCUGGUGGUGCAGGAGUUGGGCCAGGUGGAGCAGGAUUUGGGCCUGGUGGUGCAGGAGUUGGGCCAGGUGGAGCAGGAUUUGGGCCUGGUGGUGCAGGAGUUGGGCCAGGUGGAGCAGGAUUUGGGCCUGGUGGUGCAGGAGUUGGGCCAGGUGGAGCAGGAUUUGGGCCAGGUGGAGCAGGAGUGGGGCCUGGAGGUGCAGGAUUUGGGCCUGGUGGUGCAGGAUUUGGGCCUGGUGGUGCAGGAGUUGGGCCUGGUGGUGCAGGAGUUGGGCCAGGUGGAGUGAGUCCAGGUGGAGCUGCUGUGCCUGGUGGAGCUCCGCUGCUCCCACAGACUGGUACUACAGGGGGAGGACCAGGAGGAAAGAGUGGUGGAAAAGCAUCAAAACAAGUUCCAGGUAUUGGAGUGCCUGGACUCUAUCAAGGUGGAUUUGUACCAGGACAAGGUUUUGGAGGCCGUGGUGUUCUCCCUGGAGUGGCCACAGGAUCUGGACUUGGUCCUCAGACUGGGACCGGCGUACUCGGUCAGGGGGGUGUUGGAACAGGAGGAGCAGGCAAUGGCCGUGGACAGCAGCUGCCUGGGGUUUUUCGUGGAUACCCUCUCAUAUCACCAAAAUCAGGUGCAGGAAAAUCAAAGAAUCCAGCCAAAAUUGCAGCUAAAUAUGGUGGAGCUGGCAGACUUGGUCAGGGAGGAACUUUGGGUGGUGGGGCUGGAAGAGAAGGUGUAGGGGGUACCCCUGGAUUUGGAGGCGGAGUUGGAACAGGCGGUGGACCAGGAGCUGUACCUGGAUUUGGAGGCGGAGUUGGAACAGGCGGCGGGCCGGGAUUAGUACCUGGAUUUGGAGGCGGAGUUGGAACAGGCGGCGGGCCGGGAUCAGUACCUGGAUUUGGAGGCGGAGCAGGAACAGGAGGCGGGCCUGGUUUAGGUUAUGGACCUGGCUCAGCCAAAGCACGCAAAUAUGGCAGUGGAGGCACUGGAGUAGCUGGAGGCCUUGGAGCUGGUGUUGGUCUUGGCACAGCAGGAGGACCUGGUGGUUUUGGUCCAGGUGGUGCUGGCACUGGCGCAGCUGGAGGCCUGGGAGGCGGAAGACAGGGAGGAGGAGUUGGCCCUGGCACGGGUGUGGGACCUGGCUCUGGGGUUGGUUUUGGUCCAGGUGGUGCGGGCACUGGGCCAGGCGGUCUUGGCUACGGUCCUGGUGGUGCUGGCACUGGGCCAGGCGGUCUUGGCUAUGGUCCUGGUGGUGCUGGCCUUGGAACAGGAGGCACAGGAACAGGGCCCGGAGGAUAUGAUGCCAGUGCCAAAGCCCGUAAAUAUGGCAUGUUAAGUGGAGCACUUGGAGGUCCAGGAAUAGGUACUGGAGGAGUCAGGCCUGGUGGUGCUGGAACUGGCUAUGGACCAGGUGGAGUUGGACCAAGUGGAGUUGGACCAGGCGGAGUAGGACCAGGUGGAGUAGGACCCGGUGGUGCUGGCACUGGCUAUGGACCAGGUGGAGUUGGACCCGGUGGUGCUGGAACUGGAUUUGGACCAGGUGGAGUUGGACCUGGUGGUGCUGGAACUGGCUAUGGACCAGGUGGAGUUGGACCCGGUGGUGCUGGAACUGGCUAUGGACCAGGUGGAGUUGGACCCGGUGGUGCUGGAACUGGCUAUGGACCAGGUGGAGUUGGACCCGGUGGUGCUGGAACUGGCUAUGGACCAGGUGGAGUUGGACCUGGUGGUACUGGCACUGGCUAUGGACCUGGAGGUUAUGCUGGUGCCAAAGCCCGUAAAUAUGGUCUUCCUGGAGGUGCUGGAGGUGCCCUGGGUGCAGGAGGACUUGGGGGUGGGGUUGGGCCUGGUACUGGGCUCGGAGUAGGAGGAGGGUUUCCUGGACGAGGUGUUGGAGUAACAACUGGUGGUGGACCUGGAGCAGGAGUAGGGGUGGCUGGGACACCUGGUUCUGGUAUUGGAACAGGAGGUGGACCAGGUGGCUUUGGACCAGGCGGUGCUGGAGGAUAUCCUGGGGGACCCAAGUCUCUCAAAUAUGGGCUACCUGGUGGUGGCGGAGCCCCUGGAUCUGGUCUAGAUGGAAGAUUUGGUGGCCCAGCAGCAGGUGGUUAUGGUCCAGGGACUGGAGGAGCACUAGGGACUGGAAGAGGAUAUGGACCUGGUGGAUAUGGGCCUGUGGCUGGGACUGGUUAUGGACCAGGUGGAGGUUAUGGUUUAGGACCAGGUGCUGGAUAUGGAACAGGUUAUGGAGCUGGAUCAAAACUUGCUAAAUAUGGUCCCGGUGGAGCAGGUGCUGGUGGGGUACUUGGAGGUGGACUAGGACGAGGAGGUGGCUAUGGAACAGGAGGCUAUGGAACUGGCAGUGGAGGCUAUGGUACAGCUGGAUCUAAAGCUGCUAAAUACGGGCAACCUGGUGGAGUUGUUCCCGGGACAGGAGCAGGGACUGGUGUUGGAGUGAAUGGCACCAGCACUUUAACUGGUGCACGGGCAACAGCUAGACCAAGUGGUGAUGGUGGUGCUGGCAGUGUGAUAGAGGGGUCUGGGAGUCCUGGAGGAGAAGGAGUUACUGGUGUAGCUGGCAGACCAGUAGGUGCAGGAGGUGAUAGAGAUGUCCUGGGUGGAACAGGGAUCCCCAUCAUUGGAGCAAAACCAGGACUCAAUGGGACCACAGUCCCAGGUUCCACAGGAGCUUCCCCUGUUGGUGGUGGGGCUGUACAACCAAGUGCUGGGACCGGAGUUGGUGGUACAAGAGUUCCCCCUGGAGGCUCUGGUGGUGAUGUCUCAAAUGGAGCAUUGCCUGGCGCCAAACCUCUCAAACCCCCAGGUGUCCCUCGAGGUGACACACCAGGUGAAGGAGAUGGAGAAGAUGGCCCCGAUGGAGAGAGAGGUGGUACAGGAGGCACAGGUGGAGGGCCAGGAGGAGUAGGAGGGGGACCUACCAGAGCAGGACCAGCAGGAGGUGUUUCUGGUGGUGCAACAGCAGUAGGAAGAGGAGACGGUCCUGCUACUGGAACUGGACUUGGAUCAGGAGGUGCAGCUGGUGGAGUAGGAGGAACACCAAAACCACCCAAAGAUGGGACUGUCGCAGGAGGUGUAAGCGCAGGACCUGGUGGAGCUGGUGGACUUGCAGGAGGAGUUGGGUCAGCUGGACGAGGUCCUGGAGGAGCAGGCCUGGUACCUGGGGCUGGUGGAGUAGGAACAGGAUUCGCAAAACCUGGAAAAAGCUAUGGUGCUUUUGGAGCUGGAGUUUCACCAGGCGGAGGCAUACGUUACCCAACAGGAGCUGGAGUAGGACAAGGAACAGGAAAACCAGGCAAAGCAUAUGGAACUCUCGGAGUAGGAGGACAGGGUGGGUUUGGACCUGGCGGAUAUGGAGCUGGUCCUGGUGGCUUUGGUACUGGUCCGGGAGGUUACGGAGUGGGACCCGGAGGUUACGGGGCUGGCCCAGGUGGUUAUGGAGCUGGACCUGGAGGCUAUGGAGGCACAACUGGAAGCAGAGGCAUCGGUGGUGGUCCUGGGGGUGUUGGGACUCUUGGAGUUGGAACUGGUCCAGGAGGUGUAGGUCCUGGCGGAGUUGGUGGCGGACUGGGUGGAUACGGUGGUGGUGUGGGGCCUGAUGGUUCUAGAUAUGGUACAGGUCCAGGACGGGGCACUGGGACUGGUGCUGGCAAACCACCAAAAAGUUAUGGAGCAGGAGCUGGUGGUACUGGUGUUGGACCUGGUGGCUAUGGCACUGGACCAGGUGGAGCUGGUUCUGGUCCAGGAGGUUUUGGACCAGGUGGCUUUGUGCCAGGCGGCCCUGGUGCUGGUACUUAUGGACCAGGUGGCACUGGUUCAGGUGGAUAUGGGGCCGGCACUGGAACUAGACCUGGUGGCUUUGGACCAGGUGGUGCCGGAACAGGAACAGGAGGCUUCGGAACAGGUGGUGCCGGAAUAGGAACAGGAGGCUUCGGACCAGGUGGUGUCGGAACAGGAACAGGAGCCUUCGGACCAGGUGGUGCCGGAACAGGAGGCUUCGGACCAGGUGGGGCUGGAACAGGAGGCUUCGGACCAGGUGGGGCUGGAACAGGAGGCUUCGGACCAGGUGGGGCUGGAACAGGAGGCUUUGGACCAGGUGGUGCCGGGGCUCAAGGACUGGGGACAAGAAAACCACCCAAAUCAGGUUAUGGAUCAUCCUCACUGGGUGGAGCUGGCUUUGGACCAGGUGCAGGAGUUGGACCUGGUGGAACAGGUACCGGACCUGGCAGAUAUGGGCCGGGUGGCUUCGGACCAGGUGGUACUGGCGUUGGAACGGGAGGCUUUGGACCAGGUGGUACUGGCGUAGGAACAGGAGGCUUUGGACCAGGGGGUGCUGGCACAGGAACAGGUGGCUUUGGACCAGGUGGUGCUGGAGUAGGAGGGUUUGGACCUGGUGGUGCUGGAACAGGAACAGGAUUUGGACCAGGAAGUCAAGGAUCAGGAAAAAGAAAACCGUCUAAAUCCGGUUAUGGAACUGGUUAUGGUUCAGGAAGCUUAGGAGGAGUUGCAGGAACUGGCACUGGUGGAGCUGGAGCUAGAACUGGCGGCUUUGGUCCAGGAGGAGCUGGAACAGGUGGCUUCGGUCCAGGAGGAGCUGGAACGGGUGGCUUCGGUCCAGGAACUGGCGGUUUCGGUCCAGGAGGAGCUGGGACUGGCGGUUUCGGUCCAGGAGGAGCUGGGCGUGGUGGCUUCGGUCCAGGAGGAGCUGGAACGGGUGGCUUCGGUCCAGGAGGAGCUGGAACGGGUGGCUUCGGUCCAGAAACUGGCGGUUUCGGUCCAGGAGGAGCUGGGACUGGCGGUUUCGGUCCAGGAGGAGCUGGGACUGGUGGCUUCGGUCCAGGAGGAGCUGGGACUGGCGGUUUCGGUCCAGGAGGAGCUGGGACUGGCGGUUUCGGUCCAGGAGGUGCUGGAACUGGCAGUUUCGGUCCAGGAGGUGCUGGUGGAUAUGGACCUGGUGGCCAAACAAGAAAGCCUCCUAAAUCAGGUUAUGGCUCAUCGUUAGGUGGCACUGGCUAUGGACCAGGUGGUGUAGCAGGAGGCCUUCCUAGUACUGGAACAGUAGGAAUCAGUGGAGGCGGUCCAGGUGGUGUAGGAGGGCAGGCAGGAGGCCCUGGAGGACCAGGCCAGGGAGUAGGAGGAGGACCAGGUGGCUUACCAGGGGGUGCUGGCCCUGGUUUUGGAGGGGUGGCUGGUGGAGGCUAUCCAGGAUUUGCAGGGGCUGGGCAAAAAUCCAAGGCACAGAAGGCAGCCAAAUAUGCAGCCCUGCAGGCCCUACUUGGAUCUGGGGGCUACAGAGGUGCUGGCUGUCAGGGUAAAUUCUGUGGCCGAAGGAGGAAGUGAGCCACCAACAGACAUGAAGUGACCUCAUCAAUACAACAGUGGUGCUAUUGCAUGAUCCCAAACUGUAAAUGUCUUAUCUGCCAUGGAAGCUAAAGCUUCAACACAUUCCAAGUGUUACAUUUUUAUUUGCUUAGAUGUUGUACAAGGCUUACUGAGUAAGAAAAAUGGUUCUCAACCUGUUAGAAUCCUGAUUCCUGAAAGCAAGAUGCUGCAGACUGCUAUGCAGAUUGGAGGAUUUGUCACUGUCACAUUGAUUUUUUGGGGGGAUAAUUUGCAAAUUUGGCUUUGGUCAGAUAUAAAGUAUUCACAGUUUCUCAAGAAAAAACACAAAUUAGAGUCUGAAUUUCAAGAAUUAAGUUUCAAGAGUGACAAUAGGCUUGUUUAAGAUGGGACAAACUUGCGCUGAAUUGAUCAACACAGAUUGCUGCAUAAUGGAUGCUAGUUAUAUUUCCAUAUUGAUUCCAACUUGUUUUGAUGUCAGAAUGACACAGGCAAUAACAGCAUCAUGAGAUCAUGACAGAAAACAUCUGGCUUUCACCUGCUCCAUUAGCUGAUUGGUUCUAAUGUCGAGUCUACAAUAUGAAAUUUGAUAAUGAUAAGUUACAAGAGCGUUCAUGUAAAAAUGGAGGCUGAACCAAGAACAGAGGUUACAGAUGCCCUGUCAUAAUUAAAACUAUUUAAUGAAUCAACUAGUUUCUGUAACUUCCUGCUUUGACUGAAAGCUGCUGGAAACUGUCUUGACUGCUGACUUUUAACACUACCCCGUGCUGUUGCUAUCUGUUCCUGACUUCUGUUAGAACCGCAGUUGAUCUCAAAUGAGUCUAUUAUUCCAUCAGCAACACAACAACCAGCAAACUGGACACAAUGGAAUUCUUCAAGCUCUAGUUCUAAUUUGUUAACAUUUCUUAUAGUCCUAAUAUUCCCCAAUGAAUCACUUUGUAAGUCUCUGGGGAUCUUGACUACCAGGCUGAGAACCACUAAAAUGAAGGAUCUGUAUUUCUUUUUAUCAGUGAGGCCAACCUGCUCUAUACUACAGUUAUUGUUUUCUAUUGCUGCGUUGAAUAUCAUUUGUGUUCCAAUGCAAGUAUCACCAUGAAACCUCUGGGUUGAGACUGAUACCAAGGACUCCCUCAGGGCAGCUCCUUCAGACCUGUCUGCAUGCUGACACAAGGUUUAUGAAAAACGUCUCCAAGGCAACAUUUUUGUCCAGUUAGACUGGGUCGUUCUUUUGUCUACAGAUUUUAAAAUGUGCUAAUUCACUGUUUUUAGCUUGUACAUCAGUAGACGCUCUUGUGUAAUCUAUCAGCAAUGUGUAAUGACCAAGAAACAGAUGGCUGCUGUUCUGUGGAAUGAUGAACAAAAGAGACACUCAGUGGAGUCUUCUGUGGUUUGGUGUUUUGACUGGUCAUUAUCUCAUCCUUAAAAAGCAGCCUCUGUUCAUGUCAACUGUACUCAGGCCUCAGUAGUAUCAACCGUGGAGGCCUAAAAGUAUUUUGCUAACACUGGUGAGAUUCUUCCACUCUGUUCACAACAUUAAAGACACUGUUUUAUAGCUACGUAACACUAAGUGGUAAUAGUGUAAAGUUUUGGUUAACCUCCAUUUUGCUUUCAUUGUUAGAAGGAGAUAUUUGUUAUGAUAUAAUGAUGUGGCUUAGUUUUAGCUUUUACAUUUGCUGUUGAGGAAAGCAUUCAAGCUAAAUGUGAGGUAAUAUGACAAGAAUACAUGAGGAGUACUGAUUACUGUUUUUUUUUUUCUUUUGAUGUACCUCCUUUAACACUGUUGAAAAUUUGUUCACGUUUACCAGACUUUUUAAAUUAUGCUGGAUAAUAGGGAUCUAUUUAGUCUUAUUUUACAAAUUCAAGAGCAUUAAUACAGUAUUAAAUAUUUCAGCUAGUUAUUUUGUGUGUGAGUGUUUCAACAGUUAUUAAACGUGUGUACUACUAUGAUGAUAGAAGUGCUUUGUUUUCUACAUUGUCCUUGAAUGUGUGUUGAAUCACAAUGUAGUCUGUGAGGUCAUUAGGAUAAAAAAGUAUAACUGAAUCUUAUCUUGCAUUUGAGCUUAUGUUUGUGUUUAUCAUGCGGCUCAACAUGUGUUUUUAAUGUAUUUUUUAUGUGGCCUAUGAAGAAAAUAAUGCACUUUUGUACACUUUCUGACUAUGCUCUCUGAAGUAAAGAGAUGACCAAUGACA
ensembl:lncRNA